ensembl:snRNA U6 U6 spliceosomal RNA
GUGCUCUCUUCAUCAGCCCAUGUACUAAAAUUGGAACGAUACACAGAAGAUUAGCAUGGCCCCUGCACAAAUUCAGGAGCACUCCAUAUUUUU